AUCUUCGUUCCCUGCAGAACCUUGACAGUUGGACAAGUGACCUCCUCUAGAACAGAUGGAAAGUCUCCAGAAGCAGAGGAUUUAGUGAACGAAAUUCGCAAUAAUCAGCUCCAGAUCCUGAAAAGGAGGGCGAAGAAUCAGUGGCCAAAGCUAACCGCUUCAUACCCACACUUCAUCCUCCUGUUUCUCUCCAGGCCACCAUGUCUGCAGGCAACGGCACCCCUUGGGGAUGCCACCUGGAAUGUCACUGUUCAAUGGCUGGCUGUGGACAUCGCAUGUCGGACACUCAUGUUCCUGAAACUAAUGGCCAUGUAUUCUGCAGCUUUCCUGCCUGUGAUCAUUGGACUGGACCGCCAGGCAGCAGUACUCAACCCGCUUGGAUCCCGUUCAGGUGUAAGGAAACUUCUGGGGGCAGCCUGGGGACUUAGUUUCCUGCUUGCCUUGCCCCAGGCCUUUUAAAAGCA
rnacentral:sRNA from 1 species